CGCGCCUGCGCAAUGGAGGGGGCGAGCCGGAAAUGGGGCGGGGAGCGCACCCUGGAUGUGCGUAGAAACAAGUCCUACAGGGCUGCUCGCUUGAAAUUUGGGUGUAAGUGGGAGCGGAGGUGAUGUUUUAGGCUCUGAUCAUUUGUUGUGGUGUGUGUGUGUGUGUGUGUGUGUGUGUGUGUGUGUGUGUGUGUGUGUUUGCUUUUGAUGGGGAAUCGAACUCAAGACCUCGCGUUUGCCAGGCGGGCACUGUGCUACUGAGCUAUAUCCUAAGCCCCUGAUCAUUUUUUAAACAGGAGUUUUGCUUAGUGGGUCCGACCCAAAAGUAAAUCCGAGCUCUGAUGCAAUCUUUGGCAAGUUGUUUAGCCAGAAUUUAGUUUCUUCGAUGGUAAAAUGAUUUGGGGGCAACUUCCAAGGGUUAUUGGGGAAAUUAAAUUUGUCACCACCAUGUCUGGCACAUAGAAAGCUUCAAACAGUGAUAGCAGUGAGUAGUAGUGGUACCAAAUGCAGGGGUCUGGGCUGGGAAUUUAGCUCAGCGGCAUAAGCGCCUGCCUGGCAAGUGCGAGGUCCGGUACCACAAAACAAACAAAACAAAUGCAGGGAUCAGCCCAUAAAUUUGUUGGGCACGUGCCCAAGAGAACAGAGCUUUAGAUUUGAAGAAGACUUGGGUUCAGAUUUUCACUGGCGGUGACUUCCGCAAAUACAAUACCAGCUGCUAAAGCUAGAACUUAGUUAAGUUUUAUAUGAAAUUUUCCUGAUGUGUAUGAGCUGCUGCCCGAUAGUGAAGUGGGGCCAAAUAACCUGACUUCACAGAAAUCUGGCAAAUCGAACAGAAGAAACAUAGUGUGCUUUUCCAAACAUGUUUGCUUUUUCCUUAUGUAAAACUGAAAUCCAGAACAUACUUCCUAAUCACUAUAUGCACCAUCUAGGACUAGUUUUUAGACCAACCAAGCACACAGGGUUGGUUUCCCAUUAACUUUCUUUUUUUUCUUUUUAUCGGUACCAGGGAUCGAACUCACGACCGCCUGCUUGCAAGGCAGGUGCUUAUGCCACUGAGCUAAAUCCCCGGCCCCACCCCCAUUAACUUUCAGUGAUUAGCACUGGAGAAGAAGGAUCUGUUGGCCAUAUGUAUUAUUUACAAUUGUACAUAUUUGCAAAAAGCAAAUACAUGGUGAGAUAUUCAGGGUUAGCUUGAGCUAAAAAGUCUCAAGGCAUCUCUACUCCUUUUCCUCUCAGAUCUCUAGUCCUGUUCCCUGAUAGUAUCCAGAGGGGAAAAGUUUCAUCUUGUUGAUAUAGGGAUGAUAUCAGAAUCUCCAAAUGUGACACAAGGGAAAUAUUACAAUUCCCAACCUGUUGGAUGUCUGGUACGCCAGGUUCAUGUUCUCUAAAACUGAAGAAUGAAUACUAGGAACAAUGCAAGUUAAGAGUGGGAAAUAUUGAGGAAUAGAAAGUUCCUACCUGAGAGGACAGGGGGGGACACCUGGAAAGUGGGUUGCCCAAGGACCCCACUUCUUAGGAAAGAUUUUGUGGGGCUCAACCUCAUGGGUGCAACAUAAGUUACAGAUAAGCUUAACCAAUAGGAUUUUAAGUAUACCUGCUUAGGUAAGUUUGAUCCAACAGGGAAGCAAGUCACCUAGCAGGUGGGCAUGGAAAGAACAAAAAACUUUCUGGAUGGUAGGAUUUGGUUGCUCACUGGGGUGACUGCUACCUAUCUGGACUGUGUUGGACCAGGUAUUAUCACUUAUCCCCUGAGGAGUAUAUAAACCUAGUCCUGUUGUUAUCCUGAAGCCUGCUCUCCAGCUAAUGUACCUCAACCAUCCACUGUUGUAAUGUGUUUUCACCUUUUGUCUUGACUCUUUUUUUCCCCCCAAGAGGUCAGCUCUGUCUGACUGCCUAUAAGAUUUCUACCGAAUUUAGCUGUCUAUUAUAUCUUGACAGCAAAAGCAUAAACAACAAAAGAAAUAGUAUAUUGGAGCCAGACCUAGUGACACAGGUCUCUCUAAUCCCAGCACUGUGGAAGGUUAAAGUAGGAGGAUCAUAAAUUUUAGCCUAGCCUGGGCAAUUUAUUGGCUUAGCAAAAUCCUGUCUCAAAAUUAAGAAAGAAAUAAAGCACUGGGAAUGCAGCUCACUGUGAAGGCCCUGUGUUCAAUCUCCAGUGCCACUAAUUAAUUAAUUAAAUUCAAUUUAAACUUUUUCACACCAAAGAACACUACCAAGAGAGUUAACCAACAAAACAAUGGAGAAGUGUUUGCACUUCUAGUCUAGUCUAGUCUAGUCUAGUAUCUGGUCUAGUAUCCAGAAUAUAUAAAUAACUUCCAAUUCAAUGAAAAUCCAAUUUAAAAAUAAGCAAAUGACGUAAAUAUGCAUUUUUCUAAAUAAGAUAUGCAGGUGGCCAACAAGCAUAUGAAGAGAUACUCAUUAGUCAUUAGGAAAAUGCAAAUCAAAAACACAGUAAGUAAACAACUCUCCACUAGUAUAGCUAGAAUUUAAAAAGAAAAAGUUGAAAAUAGCAAGUAUUGAUGAGGAGAUGAAGAAGUUAGAGCCCUCCUACACUGGUGAUAGGAGUAUAAAAUGUAGCUACUAAGGAAAACAAUUUGUCCCUUAAAAGUUACACAUAGGAUCUGGGGUCUGAGUCAGCGUUUCACUCAUAUUUAUACCCAAUCGGAUUAAAAACAGGUGUUCAAACAAAAACUUCCACCCAAAUGUUUAUGGCAGAACUAUUCACAGUGACCAAACCUGGGAAACUACCCCAGUGUCUAUUAACUAAUGAAUGGAUAAAAACGUAGUAUAUCCAUUCAAUAGGACAUUAUUCAGCUGUGAAAAAGAGUGAGGUAAUGGUUCAUGCUAUGACAUGAAAGAAUCUUGAAAACAUUAUGCUAGUUGAAAAGCCACUCACAAAAGGCCAUGUAUUAUGAGAUUUCAUUUAUAUGAAAUAUUCAGAAUAUUCAUUAUGACAAUAAACAGAUUACUGAUUGCCAGCGGCUGAAGAGACCAGUGUGGGUGGGGGACUACCUAAUAGGUCUGCAGUUUCCUUUUGAACUGAUAAAAAUGUUUUAGAACUAUAUACUUGGUUGUUGAAUAACGUUGUGAACACACUGCAUGUCACUAAUAGUAAGUUUUAUUUUAUCAUGUUUUGCCACACUAAUAGAAAUUUCAAACUCUAGCACUUUUGCAGGCAACUGAGUUAUAUAAAAAUAUUACAGGCUGUCAGAAGGGCUGGGUCCUCAAAGGAGUCAGUUCAGAAGUCCAGAUACCUUGCAAGUAUGGAGGAGACCCCUCCUGCUGUGGGCCAGGUCUCAAGACAAAAGAUCAAACUAAUGCAUCAGAUCCUAAGGACUGAUACUCUCAAUAGGUCUCUAUCACCCUGAGAAAACCAAGGAUCAGCAUCCCAAGCCCUACAGGAAUAGUCACUGCUCUUUAAGCACGCCCACUUGUCCCCCAUUUAAUCAGUUUUACCUGAGUAGUUAAUCUUAUUGGUUACCCAUAGUUCUGUCCCACCUUAUUCCCACCUUGGACCUGUCUCACCUUGUGGUUUUACUCUAUAAAAGUCCCUAGAAAAGACAGAGUCCCAGGCAACCCACUCAGGACCCCUUCUGUCCCUCUUUGACAAAAGCUUUCUUUCUCUCACUAAAUACAAUUUGCUCUUAACCUCCCUUGUUCCUAAAAUUCACUCUUCGAUUUUAGAGAACACGAGCUCAUAUCUAGUAUAUCAUUAGGGCCCAGGUAGAUAAUGGAAGUUAAUGAACCUGACCAGGUGUGAAAGUGAGGUAAACAGGAGUGUGGAGGUCUAUGAAAGGGGCAGCAUUUAUACAGGACUCCAACUGGUGGCUGGGGCCCACCGUUGCCAAGAUUGCCCAUCUCUUUAAGAAAAGUCACUACCUCUCCAAUUUUAAUGUUCAUGCAAGUUGCACAGUGAUCUUGUUAAAGUGCAGAUUCAAUCAGUAGCUCUAUGGUGGGACCUGAGCAUGGGCAUUUCUAAAAAGUUCCCAAGGUAUCUCAGCUCUACAGCCCGCACUUUGAAUUGUAAGGGUCCACAUCGAAAGUUCUCGUGCUUGCCUGAACUUUUGGAAGUACAUGGAGGGGAAAACAGUGGUGCUCAAGCCCCGUACCUGUAGGUUCUGAUGUUAUAACAGAGGGAAGUCUAGCAUCAGGAUUUUUUAAGGUCUUAUUUCCCUCCCACCAACCCCCCGUAAUUCAGAUUCACCACAGACGAUGAGUGCCAGAACCUGAGGUAACCUCCAGAUUCUACCUGUCCCUGAGUGUCUAAGACUGUGGAAUAUUUCUGAGAGACUAGGUAACAGCCAUCCCCUAAGGUGACCUUCUGAGAGUCACCUUCUCCUUAGAACCUUCUCUCCAGCAAAGCGUUCCAGCCGGUUGGUCUUCUUUUGCUGCUAACCCCCUCUCCUGGGGCAUAAGAACUUUUGUUAGUGAGCUUCGAUUCAUUGGGUCUGAAUUGUUGACUGAUCCUCAACCAAGCUAGAAAGGAGACUCCCUCUUGGCAGGAAGGCAGAGUGCAUACCCUGGUCAGUGUCUGCCCCGAGACAGCAGAGCCAGGGGUUUGCCCAGAGCGAGGCGGCAGUGAGUCAUUGUGGCAGGGGCAUGAAAGGAGAGCAGGCAAGAAAAUAAAGCAGUGGGUGCUAUCUCGCCUCUCCCCGUGCACAGCCGGAAAAACUGUGACCACAACCAUCUUCCUGCUUUGUACCUCUCUCGCCUCCCAGCCUGACUAAUUCUGGCUAAAAGAAAGGUACUUAACAAAGGGACAGAAAGAAUGGAGAGCCCCAACCAAAACCCAAAAGGAAGCAGGCAGGGUCUCGCUAUGCAGUUCAGACUGGUCUUGAGCUUGCUUUGUAGCCCAGGCUGGUCUCAAACUCACAACAAUCCUCCUGCCUCAGCCUCCCGAGUGCUGGGAUUACCGGCGUGCACCACCACGCCCAGCCCCAAUUUACAUUUUCACCAGCAGUGAAGGAAUAGCCCGCCCCCUCCUCAGAGAGCACAGCCUGGACUCACAGCUCUAUUCCUUCGCCAUAAAACAUUAAUUCUAAUACACGAUGUUACUGGUGUUUUUGAGCCUAAAUGAAGGCAGGUCAAAUGCUAGUACAACAAACCCCGAGAGACUACCCAGAGUCUUUCACAUUUGUGCUCUACUUUUAAGUGGGUCAAAUAUUCUUUAUUUUGGGCCAGGGAUUUAGCUCAGUGGCAUAAGCAUCUGCCUGGCAAGUGCUAGGUCAUGAGUUCAACCCCGGUACCAAAAAAGAUGUUCUUUACUUUAAGUGUAUUAUGCUCAGAAACUGGACACAUUGCUCUUCAUAUGGACAUUUUUGUUAUGUAAGAUAUUUAUCACAAUACAGUUUUACAAUACUAUACUUUCUGAGUGACUCAAACUUGAUAUCUUAAUUAGUACUUAUAAAAAAUCUUAGUUUUCAAAUUUUUCAGUAUUAUUAGCAACAUCAUUUUGUGAAGUAGUAAUUUCAUAAAAAUAUAACUAAAUUUUCCCUUGGGGGCAUUAAAAUAUGUCCAAAAAUAAUUUUUUCAUUAUAAGAGCAACUGAUGAGCUCUUUAAAAUUUUUAGAAAACAUAGAAAGCCAGAAAAAUGUCCAUUAUCUACUUUCUCAAAUAUAAUCAUGAUUGACAUUCUCAUCAUUUCUUGUCUUUUAUGCAUGUGAUUUUCACAGAGUUGCCAACCCCCUUGGUAAUUUUGUCUCUUUAUUGUUAACAUAACAUUUAUAAAAAUUUGUUUUUAUAUUUGGUGAAUAUAGAAACAAUAAACAAACUACUAAUGUAAGAUGAGACUCCCUGCCUCAAGAAAUGUUAACUUAGGCUUCCAAAAUUUGCAGCCCUGAAGGAGUAAUUAAAAUGUUGGUCACUGAGCUGGGAGUGAUGGCUCACACCUGUAAUCCCAGCACUCAGGAGGCUGAGGCAGGAGGAUGGAUGCAAGUUUGAGAUCAGCCUGGGCUACAAAGUGAGCCCAAGGCCAGCCUGAACUGCAUAGCAAAACCUGUCUCAAACAAACAAACAAACAAACAAACAAAAAAGUUACUCACUAAACAUGGAGAUGUGCAGGCUCUCUGGGGUGAUCCCCUGAGCAUCUGGAGGUGGCAUCUUUGCCCCCAGCCAUGUAUCCUCCUAUGCAGCCAUCCCUGUGGGUCUCCCUGCAAGCUUCCCUACCCUGGGUACUGGGACUAUCACCUAGCAAAGGACUAGGUUAGGACAGAAGAGUGAUUUCAAUCUUUAAGGAAUGGAGAAAAUCCAGAUAACCGGCUCAACAAUCAGAUUUUCAUUUUUGUUUAUUCCCAAGUAGGUAAUAACACAAGCGGCGCAUAUCACCUUACAAUCUGAAGUCCUGAUUAAUGACAUAGUCUAAUGUGGUCCUCGUGCCAACUCUUCAUAGUGAAGGGGACAUUGGUGACUUGGUCACACCCUGUUUGUCUGACAAAUUGCAGCUCCAGGCAUCCAGCCCUGGUCUUUGGAAUCCCCAACUGUGCCCCUGGCCCCCUUCUCUGUGCAGACCUGCAUCGAGGCAGGCGUAAAAUGCCAUGCAAAAUGUCAGACAAAAGCACAGCUCUCUGUGGCCAUGUGGAGAUGGAAGAUAUUUCAAUUCAACAGAAUGAAUGGGCUUAUUACAAAAUCCUCCUAAUUCCUCAGUCAACUCGUCUGAGCACAGCGCUGGGUUUUCACCCCAGCUGACAGGUGCUGCACAUCGGGAGGGAAAAGCAUGCAGGCCUGGGAGGUGGCUUUGGCGUUCACAAAGGCCACAGGUGUUCUGGGCCGCCUCAGCUUCAGCCUUUUCACACUUUGCCAGACAACAACGACCUGAUGAUGAAGACUGGUUUGCCUUUCUGAGCCUUCACAUGACGGGAAGGAUUUGGUGGGUGAAGCAACCUGCAUUUUCCUGCCUGGCUUUCCCCUGGGAAAGUAGAACUCACAAAAGCGGCUCCAAAACUUUGGCUUCAGUAGUUCAGGCUUAAAUUUGGGUGAAGAAAGGUUAAAAAAUAGGAUGACAUUAAAAGCACCCACUGAUCAAGGCUCAUGUAAAAUUGUGGCUGGAAUUUGUUAGUAAUGACCAGAGAAUAGGAAGGACUGAAAUUCUAUUUGUUUCUUUAAAACAAACACAUUUUACCAUGAAAAGUGUGUCCUUGGCCAACAGAUGUCCCAAACCAGAGGCUCUCAGGGAGCCCAAUCAAAGAUUGCCGUCUCCUCUAAAACCUCAGACUUUCCAGACUUUCCCAGUCUGGGUCCAGCUUUCUCAUCUAUUAGAUGACACACAAGCACAAAGUAUCCUUCUAGCAUAGCUUCUGUGCCUAAGCGACAGCCCCGUCACUGGGGGCCUUGCUCCUGGCUCACAGCACACUGGACGCCUGUUCACGGCUGCAAGAGCUCGCUGCAUACUAAGAAGACUGAGGCCUGCGGAGAGGCUGGUAACACGGCCGCACCCCGUAUGGGACACAAGAAGGCUCUGAAGGUCCGGGAUAUGGGACAGAGCGGGCCAUUUGCUUGACCUUGGAGGACAGAAAAGAAGCCAACACGUGGAGACAAGAAGGCAAGGGAUGGGGAGGAGGCAGGAAGUGAGCUACGCCGGGCUUGUUGCAGCUCCUCACAUGGCCGAGCGGGGGCGCUUGUCAGCUCAGGUCUUUCCCUGCCUGGAAUCAGUGAACAGCUUCCUUGCUGACCUGCCUAAGGGAGAGAGAAGCAGCCGCGUUCUUGCAGUUCCCCGUCGUUUCUGCCUGCGGUGUCUUAAGUGUUGAUGGAUAUCAGGGUCACAACGCGUCAGUAGGCAUAGUGAGCGGUGGGAGGCAGCAGGUGUGGCUGGGCUGCAGAAAGAAUUCUGGGCCUUUACUCACGCUGUUCCUCUGUAAGCCUUGCUUUGUGUCUCAUCCAAAGCCUCCAGUGGCGACUGUGCAGUGGGUUCUUCAAUGUCAAGAGUUAGGGCACUUUUUGGUUUUGUUUUUUUGAGACACCCUGGCUUGGGAUCAGUUAUGUUGCACAGAUUGAUCUCCAACUCACAAGCUUUCUGUCCCAGCAUCAUGGGUCCUGGGGUUGCAGCCAUGCACAGCUUUUAAACCUGCAUUACAGCAAUUUCUCACAACUAAAAAAAUAGUGUGACUUCACCCACCUUAUUCUCUGGGCCUGGCACCGUGCAAUUUUGGUCUCUUCCCCAAAGUCAAAAUGACGGAAAAGUAAAAUAUUUUGAGUCAAUUCAGGACAUGAAGACAGCAUGACAGUGCAACUAAAGACACUCACAAAAGGGGACUUCCAGGACUGCUCCGGAAAGGGGCAAGAAUGAUAGGGAAAAUAUGUUUGCAGCAAGCAAGAGAGUUUUGAGGGGGAUUGACGGCAAUGUGUCUUCUACAGUAAUAAAAAUGUAAGCAUUUGCCACAUUUUUGGGUCACACCUCAUAGUGUACACACUGUGGCCAGGAUUCCUCUCUGCAAGGGCCCUUGCUUGUCUACAUGUACAGUGGGGAUCAUGCCCUUCCCCUCACCGAGCUCAACGCUGUCACGUGGGUUACAAAGGAAGAAUUAGGGACCAACUUAGAGAGUGCCUAAUCCAUCCCUUAGCUUACCAAUGAGGAAAGGGGGACGCAGAGAAAGUAAACUGCCUGUCCAAAGUUACCAGAAAGCCAGUGUCUGAUCCGGGGCUGCAAUCCAGGCUCCAGGAAAGAAGCCUCUUCCUUUCAGCAGGCCGGUGAGAUGCAUGUCACAAACCAUAACAUACCAUGUAAGUGUCACUCGAGGUCAGCUCUCUUAGGUGGCUAGACUUUACUCUGCCUGCUUGUUUUUCUAAAGUUCUGUCCAAAAUGGAUGAAGCGCAAGUCUUUCAGCUGGUGAAAGAAGGAGAGGGGUAUGGAAAUUACACCUGCAAGGGUGGCCUCCGGGCCUAAUCCUCUCCUGGCCACCACUGCUCCUGGGCACUAUGACCUU